UGGGGAAUAUUGCACAAUGGGGGAAACCCUGAUGCAGCGACGCCGCGUGAACGAAGAAGGUAUUCGUAUCGUAAAGUUCUGUCCUAUGGGAAGAUAAUGACAGUACCAUAGAAGAAAGCUCCGGCUAAAUACGUGCCAGCAGCCGCGGUAAUACGUAUGGAGCGAGCGUUGUCCGGAAUUAUUGUGCGUAAAGGGUACGCAGGCGGUUUAAUAAGUCGAAUGUUAAAGAUCGGGGCUCAACCCCGUAAAGCAUUGGAAACUGAUAAACUUGAGUAGUGGAGAGGAAAGUGGAAUUCCUAGUGUAGUGGUGAAAUACGUAGAUAUUAGGAGGAAUACCAGUAGCGAAGGCGACUUUCUGGACACAAACUGACGCGGAGGUACGAAAGCGUGGGGAGCAAACAGG
rnacentral:rRNA from 1 species